GAGUUAAGAUCAACGGUUUGUUCAUUAGUUAUUGAGGUUUAAAACUGUUAUAGGAAUUAUUAGGAUUUGGUUUAGGGUUUAGUUAGGAUUUGGUUUGGGGUUUAGGGUUUGGAUUAGGGUUUGAUUUAGGAUUUAGGGUUUGAUUAGGAUUUAGGAUUUGGAUUAGGGUUUGGUUAGGAUUUAGGGUUUGGAUUAGGAUUUGGUUAGGAUUUUAUUUAGGGUUUAGGAUUUGAUUAGGAUUUGAUUAAGGAUUUAAGAUUUGAUUAAGAUUUGAUUUAGGAUUUAGGAUUUGGAUUAGGGUUUGGUUUAGGGUUUAGGAUUUAAUUAGGGUUUGAUUUAGGAUUUAAGAUUUGGAUUAGGGUUUGAUUUAGGGUUUAGGAUUUGGAUUAGGGUUUGGUUUAGGAUUUAGGAUUUGGAUUAAGAUUUGGUUAAGGUUUGAUUUAGGAUUUAAGGUUUGGUUUAGGGUUUGAUUUAGGCUUUAGGAUUUUAUUAGGAUUUAAGAUUCAAUUAAUUUUGGCCUAAAGUUUGAAUGAAGUUCAAUAGGAUUUUAACUAGAAUUAAAUUAAGAUUGAAUUGAGAUGUAUUUGAGUGAUAUUUGUAUUCUUUUUAAUGUUUCUUUAAGAAUUCUUAUUAUUUGUUUGAAAUUUCUUUGAGAUUUUUUUGAAUUUGAUUAAGCUUGCUUAGCAUUAUUAUGGUCUAAUUAGAGCAUUGUUAGUAUUCUAUUAGAAUUAGGAUUUUGUUAUUGUAAUUUCUAUUCUUCUUUCCACAACUAGGCAUCGGAAACAUUCUCAAGCAAGACUUCAUGUAUUACGACAACGGACUCAACAAAUCA
rnacentral:lncRNA from 1 species